rnacentral:rRNA from 1 species
UCUGACACAGGUGCUGCAUGGCUGUCGUCAGCUCGGUGUCGUGAGAUGUUGGGUUAAGUCCGUAACGAGCGCAACCCUUGUCCUUAGUUACCAGCACGUUAUGGUGGGCACUCUAAGGAGACUGCCGGUGACAACCGGAGGAAGGUGGGGAUGACGUCAAGUCAUCAUGGCCCUUACGGCCUGGGCUACACACGUGCUACAAUGGUCGGUACAAAGGGUUGCCAAGCCGCGAGGUGGAGCUAAUCCCAUAAAACCGAUCGUAGUCCGGAUCGCAGUCUGCAACUCGACUGCGUGAAGUCGGAAUCGCUAGUAAUCGUGAAUCAGAAUGUCACGGUGAAUACGUUCCCGGGCCUU